GUGGGGUCGGUGAGAAAAGCUGAGGUAGCAUGUGGGGGGAUGAGAGGGGUGCAGAGAAAAGGUGAAGAGCGAUGGAGUGAAAUGUGGAGGGAUAAAGGGGAGAAUGAUGAGAGAUGAGGUGAAAAGUGAGGCGAUGAGGGGAGAAAUGGGGGGAGAGUGAGGGGAGCUGAGGUGUAAUGUGGUGACAUGAGGGGGAGCUGAGGUAAAAUGUGGGGAGAUGGGAGACAGGUGAAGGGGGCUGAGGUAAAAUGUGGGGAGGAGAGAAAUUGGCAGGUGAGGAGGGCUGAGGUAAGAUGUAGGGAAAUGGGGGACAGGUGAGGAGGGCUGAGGUAAAAUGUGGGGAGAUGAGAGAAAUGGGCAGGUGAGGAGGGCUGAAGUAAAAUGUGGGGAGAUGAGAGAAAUGGGCAGGUGAGGAGGGCUGAAGUAAAAUGUGGGGAGAUGAGAGAAAUGGGCAGGUGAGGAGGGCUAAAGUAAAAUCUGGCAACAUGAGGGGAGAAAUGGGGGAGAGCUGAGGUAAAAUGUGGGGAAAUGGGGGACGGGUGAGGAGAGCUGAGGUAAAAUGUGGGGGGAUGAGAGAAACGGGCAGCUGAGGAGGGCUGAGGUAAAAUGUGGGGAGAUGGGAGCCAGGUGAGGAGAGCUGAGGUAAAUGUGGCGACAUGAAGGGAGAAAUGGGGGCAGGUGAGGAGAAAGGAGAAAUUUAUUUAUCAAAUAAAUGUAGCGACAUGAGAGAAACUGAGGCAGGAGAGGUGAGCUGAGGUGAAAUGUGGGGAGAUGAGGGUGUUGGGAAGGUAAAAGGGGAGAAAUAGGAGCAAAUGAGAGAUGCUGAGGUAAAAAUAGGAGAUGAGGGAAGUGGUAGAUGAGGGAAGUGGUAGAUGAAGGUGGUAGAUGAGGGAAGUGGUAGAAAUGUAGGAAAGCUGAGGCAAAAAAUGGGAUAUGAGGUGGGAGGUGGAGGGUAAAGAGCAAAAUGGGUGAGUGAGGAUUGCUGAAAUAAAAUGGGGGAGAUGAGAGACAUGGGGAAAGCUGAGGUACAAUGAGCGAGAUGGGAGAGCAUCGUCAGGAGAAGGUAUAACUUCCCUAAAUGCCUGCCUGGAGGCAGUGAUGGGCUGGAUGAGGCAUAACAAACUGAGACUGGAUCCAAAUAAAAUGGAGCUGCCGCACAUUGAGUCGACACUUUCAACGAGCUGUCCACCACAACCCCAAGACAACCCCAAGAUCCCUCCUGGUCCGUCACCGACAGCUGGGAUCCCAUCAGCAUAUACUUGAAGUUGAGGUUUUUCGUCCCAAUGUGCAUAACUUUACAAGCCCUAAACAGCUCGGGCCCUGUUUACUUAAGAGAAUGCCUUCUUUGCUAUGAACCACACUGCCCAUUGAGAUCAUCAGGAGAGGUUCCUCUGCAGUUGCCACCGGUUCGUCUGGUGGCUACUCAGGGACGAGCCUUCUCCGUUGCAGCCCAAGGCUUUGGAAUAUGCUUCCUGCUGAAAGAAGAGCCUCCUCAUCUCUUACAACUUUUAAAAAGGCAGUCAAAACACAUUUGUUCACCUAGGCUUUUAAUUAGAUAUUGUUUUAAUUGUGUUUUUAAUAGUUUUAACAUUUUACAUUUUAAUUGUUGUAAUGUUUUAAUCUUUUUAUCUGUUUUUAUUGUUUUGUUGUAAAUCACCCAGAGACUUGCGUUUUGGGUGGUAUACACAUGUGUUAAAUAAAUAAAUAAAUAAAUAAAUAAAUAAAUAAAUAAAUAAAUAAAACUAAAUGUGUUAGAUUCAGCAGAGGCAGCCUUUUCUGCCUUUAUUUGCAAAGUAUUUCCAAAAAAGGUACAAAUGACCAGUUUU